rnacentral:rRNA from 1 species
UACGGGGGGGGCAAGCGUUGUUCGGAAUCACUGGGCGUAAAGGGCGCGUAGGUGGUGGCUUAAGCGUGCGGUGAAAGCUCGGGGCUCAACCCCGAGUCGGCCGUGCGAACUGGGCUCACUGGAGCAUAGUAGAGGCAGGUGGAAUUCCGGGUGUAGCGGUGGAAUGCGUAGAGAUCCGGAAGAACACCGGUGGCGAAGGCGGCCUGCUGGGCUAUGGCUGACACUGAGGCGCGACAGCGUGGGGAGCAAACAGG